rnacentral:misc_RNA from 1 species
UCCGAGUUGACCCCGGCAGUCUCCUAUGAGUCCCCACCAUCACGUGCUGGCAACAUAGAACGAGGGUUGCGCUCGUUGCGGGACUUAACCCAACAUCUCACGACACGAGCUGACGACAACCAUGCACCACCUGUACACCGCCCUUGCGGGGAGCACAUCUCUGCACUUUUCCGGUGUAUGUCAAGCCUUGGUAAGGUUCUUCGCGUUGCAUCGAAUUAAACCACAUGCUCCACUGCUUGUGCGGACCCCCGUCAAUUCCUUUGAGUUUCACCCUUGCGGGCGUACUCCCCAGGUGGUUCACUUAACGCUUUCGCUUGGACGCGUACUGUAUAUCGCACACAUCGAGUGAACAUCGUUUACGGCGUGGACUAC